rnacentral:rRNA from 1 species
GACGAAGGGGGCUAGCGUUGUUCGGAAUUACUGGGCGUAAAGCGCGUGUAGGCGGUUGCCCAAGUCGGGUGUGAAAGCCUUGAGCUCAACUCAAGAAAUGCACUCGGUACUGGGUGACUAGAGGACCGGAGAGGAUAGUGGAAUUCCCAGUGUAGUGGUGAAAUACGUAGAGAUUGGAAAGAACACCAGUGGCGAAGGCGGCUAUCUGGACGGUUUCUGACGCUAAGACGCGAAAGCGUGGGGAGCAAACAGG